CCUCACGCUCAUCCAGGGCUAACAUCUAUGCUGCCCGCGAUGCUCGACUGGCGGAGGUGCAGAGGCAGACUGAGUAGUGAGCUGAUGAGUUGACUGCAUGCGUCGAUGAGUACCGACGGCUCCAGAUCCAGAUGAUGGAGUGGAUGUCGCAGAUGGAGCAGGUGAUGUAGCUGAUGAGGUAGCAGCAGGUCGGUCCGAGCUCAUUCGAGCACUC
rnacentral:lncRNA from 1 species